UGCAUCGAUGAAGAACGCAGCGAAAUGCGAUAAGUAAUGUGAAUUGCAGAAUUCAGUGAAUCAUCGAAUCUUUGAACGCACAUUGCGCCCCUUGGUAUUCCGAGGGGCAUGCCUAUUCGAGCGUCAUUAUCACCCCUCAAGCCUAGCUUGGUGUUGAGACCUGCUGUCAAGGCAGUCUCUAAAAUCAGUGGCAGUGCUGUCAGGCUCUAAGCGUAGUAAAUUCAUCGCUAUAGACACCUGGUGGCCACUCGCCAGAACCCCCCCAUUUUUUAAUGAUUGACCUCGGAUUAGGUAGGGAUACCCGCUGAACUUAAGCAUAUCAAUAAGCGGAGGAA
rnacentral:misc_RNA from 1 species